AUUGAACUCUGGCGGCAGGCCUAAAACAUGCAAGUCGAACGAGUGGCGGACGGGUGAGUAAAGUCUGGGAAACUGCCCGAUGGAGGGGGAUAACUACUGGAAACGGUAGCUAAUAACGCAUACCAUCGGAUGUGCCCAGAUGGGAUUAGCUAGUAGGUGGGGUAACGGCUCACCAAGGCGCCGAUACCUAGAUGGUCUGAGAGGAUGCCCAGCCACACUGGAAAUGAGACACGGUCCAGACGCCUACGGGAGGCAGCAGUGGGGAAUAUUGCACAAUGGCGCAAGCCUGAUGCAGCCAUGCCGCGGGUAUGAAGAAGGCCUUCGGGUUGUAAAGUACUUUCAGCGAGGAGGCGUUACUCGCAGAAGAAGCACCGGCUAACUCCGUGCCAGCCGCCGCGGUAAUUC
rnacentral:rRNA from 1 species